rnacentral:rRNA from 1 species
GAUGAACGCUGGCGGCGUGCCUAAUACAUGCAAGUCGAGCGAACGGACGAGAAGCUUGCUUCUCUGAUGUUAGCGGCGGACGGGUGAGUAACACGUGGAUAACCUACCUAUAAGACUGGGAUAACUUCGGGAAACCGGAGCUAAUACCGGAUAAUAUUUUGAACCGCAUGGUUCAAAAGUGAAAGGCGGUCUUGCUGUCACUUAUAGAUGGAUCCGCGCUGCAUUAGCUAGUUGGUAAGGUAACGGCUUACCAAGGCAACGAUGCAUAGCCGACCUGAGAGGGUGAUCGGCCACACUGGAACUGAGACACGGUCCAGACUCCUACGGGAGGCAGCUGUAGGGAAUCUUCCGCAAUGGGCGAAAGCCUGACGGAGCAACGCCGCGUGAGUGAUGAAGGUCUUCGGAUCGUAAAACUCUGUUAUUAGGGAAGAACAUAUGUGUAAGUAACUGUGCACAUCUUGACGGUACCUAAUCAGAAAGCCACGGCUAACUACGUG